rnacentral:misc_RNA from 1 species
AUAUUCUUUAUUAAAGUGACCAGUGACUCAUUUUGAACACAUGAAUCACCGCUGCACCGUUCCAUUUGCAACGGCACAGCAAUGAUUCAUGUAUAUGCAAUCCAGUCUACUGGAUAUCAUGCCCAGAAUUCUGUUGGCACUACCCCGCACUCUACGCACCAGAAACCCACAUCUUUUUCUUAUGAGAGCGUAAAAACAAUCAACACGCGCUUCUGCGAACAUCCCUGAGGCGCUGCAGUAUCGAGGUAGCCCCAACAACACCCUGAACGCGUUAUUGUAUUGAACGCGGAGAGCACUAUAAGA